AAUGAACGCUGGCGGCGCGCCUAAUACAUGCAAGUCGAGCGAGAAGACGUAGCAAUACGUUUGUAAAGCGGCGAACGGGUGAGGAAUACAUGGGUAACCUACCCUCGAGUGGGGAAUAACUAGCCGAAAGGUUAGCUAAUACCGCGUACGCUUCUUGGACUUCGGUUCAGGGAGGAAAGCGAUGCCGAGGGUAUCGCGCUCUUGGAUGGGCUCAUGUCCUAUCAGCUUGUUGGGAGGUAACGGCUCACCAAGGCUUCGACGGGUAGCUGGUCUGAGAGGACGAUCAGCCACACUGGCACUGCGACACGGGGCCAGACUCCUACGGGAGGCAGCAGUAAGGAAUAUUGCGCAAUGGGCGAAAGCCUGACGCAGCGACGCCGCGUGGGGGGA
rnacentral:rRNA from 1 species